GAUGAACGCUGGCGGCGUGCCUAAUACAUGCAAGUCGAGCGAACAGACGAGGAGCUUGCUCCUCUGACGUUAGCGGCGGACGGGUGAGUAACACGUGGAUAACCUACCUAUAAGACUGGGAUAACUUCGGGAAACCGGAGCUAAUACCGGAUAACAUGUUGAACCGCAUGGUUCAACAGUGAAAGACGGUUUUGCUGUCUCUUAUUGAUUGAUCCGCGCCGCAUUAGCUAGUUGGUAAGGUAACGGCUUACCAAGGCAACGAUGCGUAGCCGACCUGAGAGGGUGAUCGGCCACACGGGAACUGAGACACGGUCCAGACUCCUACGGGAGGCAGCAGUAGGGAAUCUUCCGCAAAGGGCGAAAGCCUGACGGAGCAACGCCGCGUGAGUGAAGAAGGUCUUCGGAUCGUAAAACUCUGUUAUUAGGGAAGAACAAAUGUGUAAGUAACUAUGCACGUCUUGACGGUACCUAAUCAGAAAGCCACGGCUAACUACGUG
rnacentral:rRNA from 1 species